UACAUCUUCAUGCGUAGAGCAGGAAAUAAUUCUCAAAUUAGAGGUUGAAAAUCACAUUAUACCUAUGCGAAAGUGUCGUCCGAUUGUACUAUGAGAAACUGCUUUUAAGGUAUUGCCUGCUACGUUUGAUGGGCUUCUAAACUAAGAACAUAUACGUUUCAUCUAUCACAUCUUAAUGUAAACUAUUACAGGUGCGAAGGUGUAAGCUUCGAUCAACCAAAUGCAGAUAUUUUUUGACCACUUUGUUAUCAAUCUCUAUGAUUCCUGGAAUUUAUCAAGGUGAACUCAAUUACUGCAAAAUAACAAACAUCCUUAGGUCCAUGUUCCGCAUGUCAUGACAUUAUCUAUUUAUUUUGUCCAAGCUAGAUCUGGUAUUUCACUAAAUAGGUC
rnacentral:lncRNA from 1 species